rnacentral:rRNA from 2 species
CGCACGAGUUCUCGUUGAUGAUCGGUGCUUGCACCGAGAUUCAACAUGGAACGAGUGGCGGACGGGUGAGUAACACGUGGGUAACCUGCCCUUAAGUGGGGGAUAACAUUUGGAAACAGAUGCUAAUACCGCAUAGAUCCAAGAACCGCAUGGUUCUUGGCUGAAAGAUGGCGUAAGCUAUCGCUUUUGGAUGGACCCGCGGCGUAUUAGCUAGUUGGUGAGGUAAUGGCUCACCAAGGCGAUGAUACGUAGCCGAACUGAGAGGUUGAUCGGCCACAUUGGGACUGAGACACGGCCCAAACUCCUACGGGAGGCAGCAGUAGGGAAUCUUCCACAAUGGACGCAAGUCUGAUGGAGCAACGCCGCGUGAGUGAAGAAGGCUUUCGGGUCGUAAAACUCUGUUGUUGGAGAAGAAUGGUCGGCAGAGUAACUGUUGUCGGCGUGACGGUAUCCAACCAGAAAGCCACGGCUAACUACGUGCCAGCAGCCGCGGUAAUACGUAGGUGGCAAGCGUUAUCCGGAUUUAUUGGGCGUAAAGCGAGCGCAGGCGGUUUUUUAAGUCUGAUGUGAAAGCCCUCGGCUUAACCGAGGAAGCGCAUCGGAAACUGGGAAACUUGAGUGCAGAAGAGGACAGUGGAACUCCAUGUGUAGCGGUGAAAUGCGUAGAUAUAUGGAAGAACACCAGUGGCGAAGGCGGCUGUCUGGUCUGUAACUGACGCUGAGGCUCGAAAGCAUGGGUAGCGAACAGGAUUAGAUACCCUGGUAGUCCAUGCCGUAAACGAUGAAUGCUAGGUGUUGGAGGGUUUCCGCCCUUCAGUGCCGCAGCUAACGCAUUAAGCAUUCCGCCUGGGGAGUACGACCGCAGGUUGAACUCAAGGGAUUUGACGGGGGCCCGCACAGCGGUGGAGCAUGGUGGUUUAAUUUCGAAGCCACGCGAAGAACCUUACCAGGUCUUGACAUCUUUUGAUCACUUGAAAGAUCAGUUUCCCUUCGGGGACAAUGACA